UACGUAGGCAGCAAGCGUCGUUCGGAGUUACUGGGCGUAAAGGGUGUGUAGGCGGUUUUUUUAGUUUGGUGUGAAAUCUCCCGGCUCAACUGGGAGGGUGCGCCGAAUACUGAAAGACUAGAGUGCGGGAGAGGAAAGUGGAAUUCCUGGUGUAGCGGUGAAAUGCGUAGAUAUCAGGAGGAACACCGGUGGUGUAGACGGCUUUCUGGACCGUAACUGACGCUGAGACACGAAAGCGUGGGUAGCAAACAGG
rnacentral:rRNA from 1 species